UACGUAGGGGGCUAGCGUUGUCCGGAAUCAUUGGGCGUAAAGAGCGUGUAGGCGGCUCAGUAAGUCCGCUGUGAAAGUCCAGGGCUCAACCCCUGGAAUGCCAGUGGAAACUGUUGAGCUAGAGUCCGGAAGAGGCGAAGUGGAAUUCCUGGUGUAGCGGUGAAAUGCGCAGAUAUCAGGAGGAACACCAAUGGCGAAGGCAGCUCGCUGGACGGUACUGACGCUGAGACGCGAAAGCGUGGGGAGCAAACAGG
rnacentral:rRNA from 1 species